AUAUGUUGUUAAAGGUUUACCGCCUUGGGAUAGGCUUGCGUCUGAUUAGCUAGUUGGUGUGGUAACGGCACACCAAGGCUACGAUCAGUAACUGGUCUGAGAGGAUGAUCAGUCACACUGGAACUGAGACACGGUCCAGACUCCUACGGGAGGCAGCAGUGAGGAAUAUUGGGCAAUGCUCGAAAGAGUGACCCAGCAACGCCGCGUGGAGGAUGAAGGUAUUCUAUAUCGUAAACUCCUGUGAGAGCAGACGAAAGACAGAUUAUUAAUCUGGAUGACUGUAUGCUCAGAGGAAGCCCCGGCUAACUACGUG
rnacentral:rRNA from 1 species